rnacentral:rRNA from 1 species
GAUGAACGCUGGCGGCGUGCCUAAUACAUGCAAGUCGAGCGAACGGACGAGAAGCUUGCUUCUCUGAUGUUAGCGGCGGACGGGUGAGUAACACGUGGAUAACCUACCUAUAAGACUGGGAUAACUUCGGGAAACCGGAGCUAAUACCGGAUAAUAUUUUGAACCGCAUGGUUCAAAAGUGAAAGACGGUCUUGCUGUCACUUAUAGAUGGAUCCGCGCUGCAUUAGCUAGUUGGUAAGGUAACGGCUUACCAAGGCAACGAUGCAUAGCCGACCUGAGAGGGUGAGCAGCCACACUGGAACGGAGACGCGGUCCAGACCACAACGGGAGGCAGCAGUAGGGAAUCUUCCGCAAAGGGCGAAAGCCUGACGGAGAAACGCCGCGUGAGUGAUGAAGGUCUUCGGAUCGUAAAACUCUGUUAUUAGGGAAGAACAUAUGUGUAAGGAACUGUGCACAUCUUGAAGGUACCUAAUCAGAAAGCCACGGCUAACUACGUG